CCCUCGGUAGCUCAGUUGGAAGAGCGUGGGACUGUAAUUGGAUUCGAACCAAAAUCCCAAGGUCACUGGUUCGAACCCGGUCUGAGGGA